rnacentral:rRNA from 1 species
UACGUAGGGUGCGAGCGUUAAUCGGAAUUACUGGGCGUAAAGCGAGCGCAGACGGUUACUUAAGCAGGAUGUGAAAUCCCCGGGCUCAACCUGGGAACUGCGUUCUGAACUGGGUGACUAGAGUGUGUCAGAGGGAGGUAGAAUUCCACGUGUAGCAGUGAAAUGCGUAGAGAUGUGGAGGAAUACCGAUGGCGAAGGCAGCCUCCUGGGAUAACACUGACGUUCAUGCUCGAAAGCGUGGGUAGCAAACAGGAUUAGAUAC